GACGUAGGGUGCGAGCGUUGUCCGGAUUUAUUGGGCGUAAAGAGCGCGCAGGCGGUCGUUCAAGUCGCGUGUGAAAGCCCCCGGCUCAACUGGGGAGGGUCACGCGAUACUGAUCGACUCGAAGGCAGGAGAGGGUAGUGGAAUUCCCGGUGUAGUGGUGAAAUGCGUAGAUAUCGGGAGGAACACCAGCGGCGAAGGCGGGUAGCUGGGCCAACACGGACGCUGAGGCGCGAAAGCUAGGGUAGCAAACGGG
rnacentral:rRNA from 1 species